UACAGAGGUCUCGAGCGUUGUUCGGAUUCAUUGGGCGUAAAGGGUGCGUAGGCGGCGGGGUAAGUCUGAUGUGAAAUCCCGGGGCUCAACCCUGGAACUGCAUUGGAUACUGCCUUGCUAGAGAGCUGGAGAGGAAACUGGAAUUUACGGUGUAGCAGUGAAAUGCGUAGAGAUCGUAAGGAAGACCAGUGGCGAAGGCGGCUCUCUGGGUCGACCCUGACGCUGAGGCGCGAAAGCGUGGGGAGCGAACGGG
rnacentral:rRNA from 1 species